CAUAGCGAACAGGUGAGUAAUACACAAGAAUCUGCCUUAAAAUCUUGAAUAACCGUAUUUUAAAAUAAUGCUUUGCAGCGAAAAUUCAAGAACCAAAAGUUAAAUACUGUUUUAAGAUGAGCUUGUGCAGGAUUAGGUUGUUGGUAGGGUAAUGGCCUACCAAGCUGAUGAUCCUUAGCUGGUUUGAGAGGACGGUCAGCCACACUGGGACUGAGAUAAGGCCCAGGCUUAUUAGCCAGCAGUGAGGAAUUUUGGACAAUGCGCGAAAGCGUGAUCCAGUAAUACUGCGUGAAUGAAGAAGGCAAAAAAGGUUUAUUUUAUAAACCGGUUGUAAAGUUCUUUCGUUUAUGAAGAUAAUGACUUUAUUAAAAGAAGAAGCCCCGGCUAACUUCGUGCCAGCAGCCGCGGUAAUACGAAGGGGGCGAGCGUUAUUCAGAAUGAUUGGGCGUAAAGAGUUCGUAGGCGGUAUUUGUUGUUAUAUGUAAAAUACUAGGUUUGUUGCUUAGAAAUGCAUUUAAUACUCUUUUACUUGAGUAUAGGAGGGGAUAACAGAAUUUCAUACAUAGGAGUAAAAUCCGGUGAUUUAUGAAGGAAUGUCAGCGGCGAAGGCGGUUAUCUGGACUAUUUACUGACGCUGAGGAACGAAAGCAUAGGGAGCAAACAGGAUUAGAUACCCUGGUAGUCUAUGCUGUCAAAUAUGAGUGCUAA
rnacentral:rRNA from 1 species